rnacentral:rRNA from 2 species
GAUAAACGCUGGCGGCGCACAUAAGACAUGCAAGUCGAACGAACUUAAUUGAGAGCUUGCUCUCAAAGCGGUUAGUGGCGGACUGGUGAGUAACACGUAAGCAACCUGCCUAUUAGAGGGGAAUAACAGCGAGAAAUCGUUGCUAAUACCGCAUAUGCUGUGAGUAUCGCAUGAUACAAGCAGGAAAGGAGCAAUCCGCUAAUAGAUGGGCUUGCGUCUGAUUAGUUAGUUGGUGGGGUAACGGCCUACCAAGACGAUGAUCAGUAGCCGGACUGAGAGGUUGAACGGCCACAUUGGGACUGAGAUACGGCCCAGACUCCUACGGGAGGCAGCAGUCGGGAAUAUUGCGCAAUGGAGGAAACUCUGACGCAGUGACGCCGCGUGCAGGAAGAAGGUUUUCGGAUUGUAAACUGCUUUUAACAGGAAAGAAAAAAAUGACGGUACCUGUUGAAUAAGCUCCGGCUAACUACGUGCCAGCAGCCGCGGUAAUACGUAGGGAGCGAGCGUUAUCCGGAUUUAUUGGGUGUAAAGGGUGCGUAGACGGAAAUGCAAGUUAGUUGUGAAAUACCUCGGCUUAACUGAGGAACUGCAACUAAAACUAUAUUUCUUGAGUAUCGGAGGGGUUUGUGGAAUUCCUAGUGUAGCGGUGAAAUGCGUAGAUAUUAGGAAGAACACCGGUGGCGAAGGCGACAAACUGGACGAUAACUGACGUUGAGGCACGAAAGUGUGGGGAGCAAACAGG